rnacentral:rRNA from 1 species
GAGUUUGAUCCUGGCUCAGAUUGAACGCUGGCGGCAGGCCUAACACAUGCAAGUCGAGCGGAUGACGGGAGCUUGCUCCUUGACUCAGCGGCGGACGGGUGAGUAAUGCCUAGGAACCUGCCUGGUAGUGGGGGACAACGUUUCGAAAGGAACGCUAAUACCGCAUACGUCCUACGGGAGAAAGCAGGGGACCUUCGGGCCUUGCGCUAUCAGAUGAGCCCAGGUCGGAUUAGCUAGUUGGUGGGGUAAUGGCUCACCAAGGCGACGAUCCGUAACUGGUCUGAGAGGAUGAUCAGUCACACUGGAACUGAGACACGGUCCAGACUCCUACGGGAGGCAGCAGUGGGAAUAUUGGACAAUGGGCGAAAGCCUGAUCCAGCCAUGCCGCGUGUGUGAAGAAGGUCUUCGGAUUGUAAAGCACUUUAAGUUGGGAGGAAGGGCAGUAAGUUAAUACCUUGCUGUUUUGACGUUACCGACAGGAUAAGCACCGGCUAACUCUGUGCCAGCAGCCGC